AACCCUUCGCAGCGUAGGAGAGGAGUGGUUUGUUUGUUUGUUUGUUUUAAAUAAAACAGGAUGAACAAAUAAAGCCCUCUCCUGCCCUUUCCAUUGUAAGGUGUUCUAAGUUCGCCUAGAGAUGCUGCCGUCGUUGCCGGCCUCUUUAUGAGUGGCGUUGGCUCGGUCGUUCCGGCGGGAGGAGGAGAGCCAUUUGACGCCGUUGCUGAGGGAUAUCAGUCAACAACUCUCACAAGCCACAGCGAAAGGGGGCUGGCCGGUUUUUUUCCUUUUCCUGGCCUUGCCUACCGUGGGUGCUUUUACGACCAAGGAGUGUCCAAACGGAAAGCCACUAUUAGUCCGUGGGUUGCAGAAGGAGAGGACAGCCUUACCUGGACCCAGUGGCAGAAAAGGUGGCAAAAGAGAUUCAUCCUCAAAGCUUCAGUGCCUCGUCUGGAAGUUGGAGUGUACUGCAGUGGUAUUUGCGGCAAAAGAUGGAUUGUUAGGUCAGAUGGGCAAGAAAGAGUACUUCUGCCAACAUAGAAACCAAACUAUUUGACUGGGAUUGCCAAAUCCAAGAGUAGUGGUUGGAGCAUCAGAGAAUUCCCAUGCUUUCUCAGAUUGUCAGAUGAAGCAUCUGAAGUCCACUGGAUUUAAAACUAGGAGUCCAUCAUCCUUGAUCAUUGUCCAUGCUGACUGCAACUGAGAGAGAAGAGUGUGGUGAUAAGGGAGCAGCAUCAUUUAUUUCCAACUCACCUUGAAAAGCUUAUGCCCUUUGUAAAUUCAUACGUUAAUCUUCCAGCAGAGAGAAAGCAUUAAGCAUCAUUCCAGAAUGUACCUGAAGUGCCUCUCAGUCCUUUCAGCACUUUGGACAGCACCAACUCACCAACCUUUAGCACACACUAUAACCUAUGCAAUGGUUCUCAAACGGGG